CGAGCGCAACCUUGUCCUUAGUUACCAGCACGUUAUGGUGGGACUCUAGGGAGACUGCCGGUGACAAACCGGAGGAAGGUGGGGACGACGUCAAGUCAUCAUGGCCCUUACGGCCGGGGCUACACACGUGCUACAAUGGUAUACAAGCGGU
rnacentral:rRNA from 1 species